rnacentral:rRNA from 1 species
GAUGAACGCUGGCGGCGUGCCUAAUACAUGCAAGUCGAGCGAAAAGAUGAGGAGCUUGCUCCUCUGACGUUAGCGGCGGACGGGUGAGUAACACGUGGAUCACCUACCUAUAAGACUGGGAUAACUUCGGGAAACCGGAGCUAAUACCGUAUAAUAUAUUGAACCGCAUGGUUCAAUAGUGAAAGACGGUUUUGCUGUCACGUAUAGAUGGAUCCGCGCCGCAUUAGCUAGUUGGUAAGGUAACGGCUUACCAAGGCAACGAUGCGUAGCCGACCUGAGAGGGUGAUCGGCCACACUGGAACUGGAACACGGACCAGACGCCUACGGGAGGCAGCAGUAGGGAAUCUUCCGCAAUGGGCGGGAGCCUGACGGAGCAACGCCGCGUGAGUGAUGAAGGUCUUGGGAUCGUAAAACUCUGUUAUUAGGGAUGAACAAAUGUGUAAGUAACUAUGCACGUAUUGACGGUACCUGAUCAGAAAGCAACGGCUAACUACGUG